GGUGUGAUGGCCGAGUGGUUAAGGCGUGAGAGUUGAACUCAUAUAUCUCAUGGAUUCGUCCGCGUAGGUUCGAACCCUGCUCACAUCG
rnacentral:tRNA from 1 species